ACUACGGGUGGCAGCAGUGAGGAAUAUUGGUCAAUGGCCGCAAGCCUGAACCAGCCAAGUAGCGUGAAGGAUGAAGGAUCUACGGUUUGUAAACUUCUUUUAUAGGGGAAUAAAGUUAUCCACGUGUGCCUUUUUGUAUGUAUUUUAUGAAUAAGCAUCGGCUAACUCCGUGCCAGCAGCCGCGGUAAUACGGAGGAUCCGAGCGUUAUCCGGAUUUAUUGGGUUUAAAGGGUGCGUAGAUUGUUUUUUAAGUCAGUGGUGAAAGUUUGAGGCUCAACCGUAAAAUUGCAGUUGAUACUGGCAGACUUGAGUACAGUUGAGGUAGGCGGAAGUCGUGGUGUAGCGGUGAAAUGCAUAGAUAUCACGAAGAACUCCGAUUGCGAAGGCAGCCUACUAAGCCACCACUGACAUUGAUGCUCGAAAGCGUGGGUAUCAAACAGGAUUAGAUACCCUAGUAGUC
rnacentral:rRNA from 1 species